rnacentral:rRNA from 1 species
UUACGGUCAAAUCACGCUGAAUCACCGGUUCUCGUUCGAUCACCGAAGUUAAGCAUCGUAGAGCCAGGUCAGUACUUAGAUGGGGGACCGCUUGGGAACACCUGGUACUGUAAG